rnacentral:rRNA from 1 species
GCGUUAUCCGGAUUUAUUGGGCGUAAAGCGCACGCAGGCGGCAGCUCAAGUCUGACGUGAAAUCUCUCGGCUUAACCGGGAGCGGUCGUUGGAAACUGAGUGGCUUGAGGCGAUGAGAGGGGUGUGGAAUUCCCGGUGUAGUGGUGGAAUGCGUAGAUAUCGGGGGGAACAUCAGUGGCGAAAGCGGCACCCUGGCAUUAGCCUGACGCUCAUGUGCGAAAGCGUG